rnacentral:rRNA from 1 species
UGCAAGUCAGGGGAAGUUCUCUUCGGAGAAUGAGUAUACUGGCGCACGGGUGAGUAAUAUGUAAGUAAUCUACCUAUGGGAUUAGAAUAACCUCGAGAAAUCGGGGCUAAUACUGAAUAACGCAGCAACACCGCAUGGUGAUGUUGUUAAAGUGAUUUAUCACACCUGUAGAUGAGCUUAUACUCGAUUAGUUUGUUGGUAAGGUAACGGCUUACCAAGACUACGAUCGAUAGCUGGUCUGAGAGGAUGAUCAGCCACACUGGAACUGAGACACGGUCCAGACUCCUACGGGAGGCAGCAGUGAGGAAUAUUGGGCAAUGGGCGAAAGCCUGACCCAGCAACGCCGCGUGGAGGAUGAAGGUCGUAAGAUCGUAAACUCCUUUUUUUGGGGAAGAAAAAAUAGGUUUAUAGCCUAUAUUGACUGUACCCAUAGAAUAAGCCCCGGCUAACUACGUGCCAGCAGCCGCGGUAAUACG